rnacentral:rRNA from 1 species
UACGAAGGGGGCUAGCGUUGCUCGGAAUCACUGGGCGUAAAGGGUGCGUAGGCGGGUCUUUUAAGUCAGGGGUGAAAUCCUGGAGCUCAACUCCAGAACUGCCUUUGAUACUGAGGAUCUUGAGUUCGGGAGAGGUGAGUGGAACUGCGAGUGUAGAGGUGAAAUUCGUAGAUAUUCGCAAGAACACCAGUGGCGAAGGCGGCUUACUGGUCCGGUUCUGACGCUGAGGCGCGAAAGCGUGGGGAGCAAACAGG